rnacentral:miRNA from 1 species
GUAAAUUUCUUGCCUCUCUCAUU